GAUGAACGCUAGCGGCAGGCUUAAUACAUGCAAGUCAAGGGGGUAGCAAUACAACCGGCGCACGGGUGAGUAACGCGUACACAACAUACCAUAUACUGGAGUAUAGCUUCGGGAAACUGAAGGUAAUCCUCCAUAACAUUGCGAGAAGGCAUCUAAUUGCAAUUAAAGUUUCGACGGUAUAUGAUUGGUGUGCGUUUGAUUAGCUAGUUGGUAGGGUAACGGCCUACCAAGGCGACGAUCAAUAGCUGGCGUGAGAGCGCGACCAGCCACACUGGAACUGAGACACGGUCCAGACUCCUACGGGAGGCAGCAGUAGGGAAUA
rnacentral:rRNA from 1 species